GACGAACGCUGGCGGCGUGCUUAACACAUGCAAGUCGUACGGUAAGGCCCUUUCGGGGGUACACGAGUGGCGAACGGGUGAGUAACACGUGAGUAACCUGCCCACAACUUUGGGAUAACGCUAGGAAACUGGUGCUAAUACUGGAUAUGUGCUCCUGCUGCAUGGUGGGGGUUGGAAAGCUCCGGCGGUUGUGGAUGGACUCGCGGCCUAUCAGCUUGUUGGUGGGGUAGUGGCCUACCAAGGCGGCGACGGGUAGCCGGCCUGAGAGGGUGACCGGCCACAUUGGGACUGAGAUACGGCCCAGACGCCGACGGGAGGCAGCAGUGGGGAAUAUUGCACAAUGGGCGCAAGCCUGAUGCAGCAACGCCGCGUGUGGGAUGACGGCCUUCGGGUUGUAAACCGCUUUCAGCAGGGACGAAGCUUUUUGUGACGGUACCUGCAGAAGAAGCACCGGCUAACUACGUG
rnacentral:rRNA from 1 species